rfam:Myotis davidii contig222841, whole genome shotgun sequence.
GGUGGUUCUUGGGUGACGCACCCUGGAAUUGGGCUCCCUCCUCCUCUAGUUCUGGGUUCGUCACCUGAGAACCACA